rnacentral:rRNA from 1 species
CAGGCCUAACACAUGCAAGUCGAACGAUUCUUUUUUUUCGUAAGAAAAAAAAGAAAAGUGGCGGACGGGUGAGUAACGCGUAAGAACUUACCCCUAGGAGGGGAAUAACUGCUAGAAAUGGUAGCUAAUACCCCAUAAGCUGAGGAGUAAAAUGGAAUAUUCCGCCUAGGGAUAGGCUUGCGUCUGAUUAGCUAGUUGGUAAAGUAAUGGUUUACCAAGGCAACGAUCAGUAGCUGGUCUGAGAGGAUGAUCAGCCACACUGGGACUGAGACACGGCCCAGACUCCUACGGGAGGCAGCAGUGAGGAAUUUUCCGCAAUGGGCGAAAGCCUGACGGAGCAAUGCCGCGUGGAGGAGGAAGGCCCGAGGGUUGUAAACUCCUUUUCUCAGAAAAGAAGAUCUGACGGUAUCUGAGGAAUAAGCAUCGUGCUAACUCCCUGCCAGCAGCCGCGGUAAU